rnacentral:rRNA from 1 species
UACGAAGGUGGCUAGCGUUGUUCGGAAUUACUGGGCGUAAAGCGCACGUAGGCGGCUUGGUAAGUUGGGGGUGAAAUCCCAGGGCUCAACCCUGGAACUGCCUCCAAAACUGCUAGGCUAGAGGAUGCGAGAGGUUGGCGGAAUUCCGAGUGUAGAGGUGAAAUUCGUAGAUAUUCGGAAGAACACCAGUGGCGAAGGCGGCCAACUGGCGCAUCUCUGACGCUGAGGCUCGAAAGCGUGGGGAGCAAACAGG